AACGAACGCUGGCGGCAUGCCUAACACAUGCAAGUCGAACGAGAACUUCGGGACUACUGGCUCACGGGGGCGUCACGCGUGGGAAACGUCCCUUAUGUACGGCAUAAUCCGCAGUAAGGGGUGCUAAUGCCGGCUAAUAUCUUCGAACCCAAGAUUUUGCGGCAUUGGGUGGGCCGGCGAGGGAUUAGCUGGUUGGUAGGGUAAAAGCCUACCAAGGCUACGAUCCAUAGCUGGUCUGAGAGGAUGAUCCGCCACACUGGGAGUGAGAACCGGCCCGGACUCCUACGGGAGGCAGCAGGGGGGAAUAUUGGACGACGGGCGAGAGCCUGAUGCAGUAAGGCUGCGUGAGUGAUGAAGGUCGGAGGGAAAUAAAGCGCUUUUACACCGGAUGAUAAUGACGGUACCGGGAGAAUAAGCACCGGCUAACUCCGUG
rnacentral:rRNA from 1 species